GAUGAACGCUGGCGGCGUGCUUAACACAUGCAAGUCGAACGAAGCACUUUAUUUGAUUUCCUUCGGGACUGAUUAUUUUGUGACUGAGUGGCGGACGGGUGAGUAACGCGUGGGUAACCUGCCUUGUACAGGGGGAUAACAGUUGGAAACGGCUGCUAAUACCGCAUAAGCGCACAGCAUCGCAUGAUGCAGUGUGAAAAACUCCGGUGGUAUAAGAUGGACCCGCGUUGGAUUAGCUAGUUGGUGAGGUAACGGCCCACCAAGGCGACGAUCCAUAGCCGAACUGAGAGGGUGACCGGCCACAGUGGGACUGAGACACGGCCCAAACUCCUACGGGAGGCAGCAGUGGGGAAUAUUGCACAAUGGGCGAAAGCCUGAUGCAGCGACGCCGCGUGAGCGAAGAAGUAUUUCGGUAUGUAAAGCUCUAUCAGCAGGGAAGAUAAUGACGGUACCUGACUAAGAAGCACCGGCUAAAUACGUG
rnacentral:rRNA from 1 species